rnacentral:ncRNA from 1 species
GGGCCUGGUGGUCCCGGAGAUCCCCUAAAGGACUCCAGGAGAAAGAACUUCCCUCCCACCCACCCUUCCCAGGUCGGUCACCCACAAGGGUGACUUCUGUACGCAGGGUGGCGGGGAGGGGGUAAUGUCGGCCACGACAACCAGAUAAGUACGGCCCCCGUCCGGGAUUGGCGUCCCGAUCGAGGGCCUCACCACCAAGGAAGACGGAACCUUCCCG